rnacentral:rRNA from 1 species
GAUGAACGCUGGCGGCGUGCCUAAUACAUGCAAGUCGAGCGAACAGACGAGGAGCUUGCUCCUCUGACGUUAGCGGCGGACGGGUGAGUAACACGUGGAUAACCUACCUAUAAGACUGGGAUAACUUCGGGAAACCGGAGCUAAUACCGGAUAAUAUAUUGAACCGCAUGGUUCAAUAGUGAAAGACGGUUUUGCUGUCACUUAUAGAUGGAUCCGCGCCGCAUUAGCUAGUUGGUAAGGUAACGGCUUACCAAGGCAACGAUGCGUAGCCGACCUGAGAGGGUGAUCGGCCCCACUGGACCUGAGACACGGUCCAGCCUCCUACGGGAGGCAGCAGUAGGGAAUCUUCCGCAAUGGGCGAAAGCCUGACGGAGCAACGCCGCGUGAGUGAUGAAGGUCUUCGGUUCGUAAAACUCUGUUAUUAGGGAAGAACAAAUGUGUAAGUAACUAUGCCCGUCUUGACGGUACCUAACCAGAAAGCCACGGCUACCUACGU